UGGGGAAUAUUGCACAAUGGGCGCAAGCCUGAUGCAGCCAUGCCGCGUGUGUGAAGAAGGCCUUCGGGUUGUAAAGUACUUUCAGCGGGGAGGAAGGGAGUAAAGUUAAUACCUUUGCUCAUUGACGUUACCCGCAGAAGAAGCACCGGCUAACUCCGUGCCAGCAGCCGCGGUAAUACGGAGGGUGCAAGCGUUAAUCGGAAUUACUGGGCGUAAAGCGCACGCAGGCGGUUUGUUAAGUCAGAUGUGAAAUCCCCGGGCUCAACCUGGGAACUGCAUCUGAUACUGGCAAGCUUGAGUCUCGUAGAGGGGGGUAGAAUUCCAGGUGUAGCGGUGAAAUGCGUAGAGAUCUGGAGGAAUACCGGUGGCGAAGGCGGCCCCCUGGACAAAGACUGACGCUCAGGUGCGAAAGCGUGGGGAGCAAACAGG
rnacentral:rRNA from 1 species